ACAUGCAAGUCGAGCGAAGUUUUUCUGGUGCUUGCACUAGAAAAACUUAGCGGCGAACGGGUGAGUAACACGUAAAGAACCUGCCUCAUAGACGGGGACAACUAUUGGAAACGAUAGCUAAUACCGGAUAACAGCAUAAAUCGCAUGAUAUAUGUUUAAAAGUUGGUUUCGGCUAACACUAUGAGAUGGCUUUGCGGUGCAUUAGCUAGUUGGUGGGGUAAAGGCCUACCAAGGCGACGAUGCAUAGCCGACCUGAGAGGGUGAUCGGCCACACUGGGACUGAGACACGGCCCAGACUCCUACGGGAGGCAGCAGUAGGGAAUCUUCCGCAAUGGGCGAAAGCCUGACGGAGCAACGCCGCGUGAGUGAAGAAGGAUUUCGGUUCGUAAAGCUCUGUUGUUAGGGAAGAAUGAUUGUAUAGUAACUAUAUACAGUAGAGACGGUACCUAACCAGAAAGCCACGGCUAACUACGUGCCAGCAGCCGCGGUAAUACGUAGGUGGCAAGCGUUGUCCGGAAUUAUUGGGCGUAAAGCGCGCGCAGGUGGUUUAAUAAGUCUGAUGUGAAAGCCCACGGCUCAACCGUGGAGGGUCAUUGGAAACUGUUAAACUUGAGUGCAGGAGAGAAAAGUGGAAUUCCUAGUGUAGCGGUGAAAUGCGUAGAGAUUAGGAGGAACACCAGUGGCGAAGGCGGCUUUUUGGCCUGUAACUGACACUGAGGCGCGAAAGCGUGGGGAGCAAACAGGAUUAGAUACCCUGGUAGUCCACGCCGUAAACGAUGAGUGCUAAGUGUUGGUCUCAUAAGAGAUCAGUGCUGCAGCUAACGCAUUAAGCACUCCGCCUGGGGAGUACGACCGCAAGGUUGAAACUCAAAGGAAUUGACGGG
rnacentral:rRNA from 1 species